GAUCCUCUUGCCUCAGAAUGCUGCCUCCAGAUUGCUAGAAUUACGAACAUGCACUGUCAUGGCCAGGAAUAAGAAGUGUGGAUCUGACUUCUGGCUCUAGGGUGAAACCUCUUCAGCUGGUUGCUGCUCCCAUUGUGUUUCUCCGGUUUUCUGCGGAAAUGACCAUCUGGCAGGACUUCCCACACAUGACCACUAGAGGGCACAGGAUUUCCAGCUCUUGAAGUUUGUGCCACAGCCAAUUCCUGGGGCUUUGCUACAUAAAAGGACAGUUUUUGUUUGUUUGCUUGUUUGUUUCCCCCCAGAAACGGGGAGAAAGCACUUGAAAUUCCCUGGGUGCAGCAAAGACAUUUUCUACAGCAUUCAUCUGUGAAAUGCUGGCUGCAAGCGGCAGACUUUCUGGCGGCUGGAGGAAGGACUGUGUUCUCCGUUCCCGACUCUGAUUUUCACCAAGGGGAAAAGAGCUGCAGAAUGCUGUACAAAUGAGUUUGGCUCUAAGAUUCUCAAAGAGAAUGUAUUUGAAGACAUGUGUGUCUAGCCAGGCCUUACAGUAUAGAGGAAAUAAUGUGCAUGAGAAUGAGAGGCCUGGAUGCCAGGAUGGUCGCAGGGUGGGCAGAAGGGGCCCCUCCAAGUCCAUCCUGGAGAGACCUCCCUGCGUGGGCCUGCCCUCAGGAGGGGUGCAGUGUAGGUACUAUAUCCUACUCAGGCAGUUGAAAAAUCAAGAAGGGUAAAUAAACAGGAAUAUGAGUUAAAAGUUAGGACUGAUCAGGGUAAGGUCAAAAUUAGAAUGCUUACCAUUUAAGCUAGCAGGGGCUGGAGAUUUAGCUCAGUGGCGUAAGUGCCUGCCUGGCAAGUAUGAGGUUGUGAGUUCAAUCCCUGACACACAUACACACACAAAAACUCCCCAAAAAACCUCACCUGUAACUUUUAAACUUGCAGGCAAA